UCCCGUAGUAGCGGCGAGCGAAAUGGGAGUAGCCUAAACCGUGAAAACGGGGUUGUGGGAGAGCAAGACAAGCGUCGUGCUGCUAGGCGAAGCGGUGGAGUGCUGCACCCUAGAUGGCGAGAGUCCAGUAGCCGAAAGCAUCACUAGCUUACGCUCUGACCCGAGUAGCAUGGGGCACGUGGAAUCCCGUGUGAAUCAGCAAGGACCACCUUGCAAGGCGGGUGACCGAUAGCGAAGUAGUACCGUGAGGGAAAGGUCAAAAGAACCCCCAUCGGGGAGUGAAAUCGAACCUUCCACCGUGAGCUCCGGAGGAGAAUGUGAUCUCUUACCUUUGAAGAAUGAGCCGGCGACUCAUAGGCAGUGGCUUGGUUCAGACCGGAGCCGUAGCGAAAGCGAGUAUUCAUAGGGCUAUUUUCACUGCUUAUGGACCGGUGAUCUAUCCAUAUGACCCAGGAUGAAGCUUGGGUGAAACUAGUCCGAACCUUGAAGAAUCAGCGGGGUUAGGGGUGAAAUGCCACUCGAACCCGGCCUUGGGCCUGACUUUCCUGACUCGACGAUUCCCCUACGGGGGCCCCGCUCUUGGAUUGAUCUAUGACAUUCUUAGUUGGUUUGAACCAAUCUGAAAAUGGAUCUGACUCUGGUGAUAUCAGGGCAACUCCGCCACCAUUGCCUUCUCCGCAAGAGCUGCCAUCAAAAUUGUCAAAAAAAUCAGUAAAGUCUCACCCGAGUAGCAAAUACAGAAGAUAUCAACUUUCCUUCCAGCAUUUCCACACACCAUUGCUUCCUUUUUCAUCAAGAUCGGCCCGGCCGCCGCCCUGAUUUUGUAUUCCGCCAUUCAUUAAUGCAUAUUCCCAAGAGUUUUAGAUCAGGCCAUCAGGCCAACUAUUUGCUACCUAGCUUCAUCAAAAAAAGGGGACCUGUAAAGAAGUCAUUAUGGGUGCUAAUCGCCUAAAUAUCCCGACCCCGGCCCGGCCCCUCUGGGGAUUUGACGACUUUGCUAGACGAAAUCAGACUAUCCAUCGGCGGGCGCCCCGUAUUGCAUAUGAGAUUACCGUUCGGGAACUCCGAUAGGCCUUCGCGUCCCUAAGCUCAAGAAUCCUACCUCCAUUUGACCAGCAGUGAGUAGGAGGUGGCUAACGUGGUCGUUUAACGAAUGGCUAUAGACCACGAACAAAGUAUACCACCAGUCGUACGGGUGGAAUAGCUCAUUGUUGAGGGUGCAGAACGUGGCAGGGGCUUUUGUGAGUCCAAGUCCAAAAGGCAUAACCAAAUCAAACCCGGUCAUCUUUUGCUCGUCUCCUUCCGUGAUACGCUAUCAAAAGUAGCCCGACCUUAGAUCAAACAGAUAGAAGUAUCUAGCGUUCGGUCGAACAAUGGUUAGGUUACCUUGUUGAGCGCGUGUCUUUCUAUACACAAUCUAAGGCUCCCGCUUAUUCUUUCUCAAGAGUUCCCCACCCCCGGCCAUCGCGAGCAGAGGAGCAAUAAGCGGCGUUUAGAAAGAUCUCUGACACUGUGCAUAUUCUGUCAUAAGCUAUCCGGAUCUGAAAACCACAUGCCACGGGAAUCCAGAAUGAGGGGCGGUGCAGCUCGGUGAUCAGGCUCAUCCCAAUGAGUCCCCAGAGGGGGCCGGGGCCCCCCAUAUUCCAUUCGCCACCUCAACCCUUGUGGAAAGGAUUCCCACCACUAGGACACUAAUGAAGAUGAAGAACCCAAGACCUGAUUUGAUGUUUAGGCUGACAUACUUUAGGCAACUCUGCUGAUGGGCCGCUUCACGAAGACUAUAAGCUUGCGUGUGCUAUCACUGACCAUGAGAAUGAUCGAAAAGGAGAGGAAUGAAAUCGCUCGGGUGUAGCCCGAGGAAUGAGACUGAAAGGAGAGGAGUGUAACCACUCGACUGAUAAGGAGAGGAGUGUAACCACUCGACUGAUAAGGAGAGGAGUGUAACCACUCGACUG
rnacentral:rRNA from 1 species